AGCUCCGGUGGUCUAGUUGUUAGAGCGUCCGCUUCGGAUGCGGGAGGUCCUGGGUUCUUUCCCCGGUCGAGUCA